AGGUAAUCCGCGAGACACCGAGUCAGACACACGUGAUCUUAUUCUCCGCUGUCCACUUGAUUUUUUUAAUAUAACUGUUCUACGCGAAGUCUAUUCUUUGGAUUCGUGGAAACAACUAAUUUUCCUCACGAAACAGUAAAAGGAAGGACAUGAUAUGUAGAAUUUAGUUUGUGUUAAAGGAGUUAACUUCGAAUUUUCAAGCAGAUCAAUCCAUUGAUGCAAUUACAGCAAGUUUCUUUCGCUCUGCGAGUGCAUUAUAUACCCAGAUAGAGAAAACCCAUGGCGGGCUUGGGUCGUAAAGAAAAGGGUCAAUCACUUCGCGGAUCUCGAAUCGCAAUAGCCAUCGUGAUCGGAGUUCUUCUCGGAUGCGUCUUUGCUUUUUUGUAUCCUCAUGGAUUCUUUAGCUCCGAUUCGACUGCCUCGAGCCAUCGAAUUGCUAAAUCCAAUCUCCAGAUUGACUCGCCUCCAUGUGAAUCAGCGGAACGAAUUAAAAUGCUUAAAUCAGAUAUUGUCUCACUAUCAGAGAAAAAUGCCGAGUUGAAGAAGCAAGUAAGGGAGCUAAGUGAACAGCUGCGGCUGGCUGAACAAGGACAAGAUCAUGCACAGAAGCAGGUUUUGGUUUUGGGUAAACAGCAGAAAGCUGGGCCUCCUGGUACUGUGAAGGGUUUGAGAACCAACCCAACUGUUGUUCCUGAUCCAUCUGUGAAUCCAAGGUUGGCAAAAAUCUUGGAGGAUGUUGCGGUUGGGAGGGAGCUAAUAGUUGCGCUUGCAAAUUCAAAUGUGCAAAGCAUGUUAGAGGUCUGGUUCACUAAUAUCAAGAGAGUUGGCAUACCCAAUUACCUUGUUGUAGCAUUAGAUGACCAUAUUGUAGAAUUCUGCAAGUCAAAUAAUGUUCCUGUAUACAAGAGAGAUCCUGAUAAAGGUAUUGAUUCAGUUGCAAGAACAGGAGGCAACCAUGCUGUCUCUGGAUUAAAGUUCCGCAUUCUGAGGGAAUUUUUGCAGUUGGGCUACAGCGUUCUUCUUUCAGAUAUUGAUAUAGUAUACCUACAGAACCCAUUUGAUCAUCUUUAUAGGGAUUCAGAUGUUGAAUCUAUGACCGAUGGUCACAAUAAUAUGACAGCUUAUGGAUAUAACGAUGUCUUUGAUGAACCUGCCAUGGGUUGGGCUCGUUAUGCUCAUACAAUGAGGAUAUGG
rnacentral:misc_RNA from 1 species